rfam:Danio rerio chromosome 4, GRCz11 reference primary assembly.
GCAUUGGUGGUUCAGUGGUAGAUUUCUCACCUGCCACGCGGAAGACCCGGGUCCGAUUCCCGGCCAAUGCA